UACGUAGGGGGCAAGCGUUGUCCGGAUUUAUUGGGCGUAAAGAGCGUGUAGGCGGCUUUACAGGUCCGUUGUGAAAACUCGAGGCUCAACCUCGAGCUGUCGGUGGAAACCGUAAGGCUAGAGUCCGGAAGAGGAGAGUGGAAUUCCUGGUGUAGCAGUGAAAUGCGUAGAUAUCGUGAGGAAGACCAGUGGCGAAGGCGGGUCUCUGGACAGUUCCUGACGCUGAGGCGCGAAGGCCAGGGGAGCAAACGGG
rnacentral:rRNA from 1 species